UGAAGAACGUAGCGAAAUGCGAUAAGUAAUGUGAAUUGCAGAAUUCCGUGAAUCAUCGAAUCUUUGAACGCACAUUGCGCCCCCUGGCAUUCCGGGGGGCAUGCCUGUCCGAGCGUCAUUUCUGCCCUCAAGCACGGCUUGUGUGUUGGGUGUGGUCCCCCCGGGGACCUGCCCGAAAGGCAGCGGCGACGUCCGUCUGGUCCUCGAGCGUAUGGGGCUCUGUCACUCGCUCGGGAAGGACCUGCGGGGGUUGGUCACCACCAUGUUUUACCACGGUUGACCUCGGAUCAGGUAGGAGUUACCCGCUGAACUUAAGCAUAUCAAUAAGCGGAGGA
rnacentral:misc_RNA from 1 species